rnacentral:rRNA from 1 species
CAGUAGCCACGGUAAUACGAAGGGUGCAAGCGUUACUCGGAAUUACUGGGCGUAAAGCGUGCGUAGGUGGUGGUUUAAGUCCGUUGUGAAAGCCCUGGGCUCAACCUGGGAAUUGCAGUGGAUACUGGGUCACUAGAGUGUGGUAGAGGAUAGUGGAAUUUCCGGUGUAGCAGUGAAAUGCGUAGGGAUCGGAAGGAACAUCUGUGGCGAAGGCGACUAUCUGGGCCAACACUGACACUGAGGCACGAAAGCGUGGGGAGCAAACAGGAUUAGAUACCCCUGUAGUCCCUGUCUCUUAUAC